rnacentral:rRNA from 1 species
GAUGAACGCUGGCGGCGUGCCUAAUACAUGCAAGUCGAGCGAACAGACGAGGAGCUUGCUCCUCUGACGUUAGCGGCGGACGGGUGAGUAACACGUGGAUAACCUACCUAUAAGACUGGGAUAACUUCGGGAAACCGGAGCUAAUACCGGAUAAUAUAUUGAACCGCAUGGUUCAAUAGUGAAUGACGGUUUUGCUGUCACUUAUAGACGGAUCCGCGCCGGAUUAGCUAGUUGGUAAGGUAACGGCUUACCAAGGCGACGAUGCGUAGCCGACCUGAGAGGGUGAGCGGCCACACUGGAACUGAGACACGGUCCAGACUCCUACGGGAGGCAGCAGUAGGGAAUCUUCCGCAAUGGGCGAAAGCCUGACGGAGCAACGCCGCGUGAGUGAUGAAGGUCUUCGGAUCGUAAAACUCUGUUAUUAGGGAAGAACAACUGUGUAAGUAACUACGCACGUCUUGACGGUACCUAAUCAGAAAGCCACGGCUAACUACGUG